CAAGCUUAUUUUUUGAGGAAUCCUUUAACUUUUGGAAGUGUACCUUUAAUUAAUGUUUGAAAAUCUCUCCCUUUUAAUAAAUACCUAUUGUAACAGAAAUUGGUAAUUUUACUGAAACCAUGUGGGAAAUAAAACAUGAGAAUAUAUUUCCUACUUCUCUUUGCAGGAUUGACAUAAAGGGUCAGCAGAGUGUUGCCUAGAAAGGGAUUUCUCCUUAUGGUACCAGAGUGCCACAAGAAGAAUGUUUGCUGGAGGUUGUGAAGAAUCAAUAGAGGAAACCAAAGAAAGGAGACAUGCGGUCUGAAAUUAAUACAGCUGGUGAAAUCAGACUUAAAGCAGGUCCAUUUAUUCACAGUUGACUGGAAUAACUGAAACUUGGAUUUUACAAUUAGAAUAUCUUAGAACAAGCAACUUACUUUAUAGAGGGACACAAAAAAGUAACAGACGGAGAUCACCAGUAGGCAGAGAAGCAGGCAGAGAGAGG